rnacentral:rRNA from 1 species
GUGGGGAAUAUUGGACAAUGGGGGGAACCCUGAUCCAGCCAUGCCGCGUGUGUGAAGAAGGCCUUUUGGUUGUAAAGCACUUUAAGCGAGGAGGAGGCUACCGAGAUUAAUACUCUUGGAUAGUGGACGUUACUCGCAGAAUAGGCACCGGCUAACUCUGUGCCAGCAGCCGCGGUAAUACAGAGGGUGCAAGCGUUAAUCGGAUUUACUGGGCGUAAAGCGCGCGUAGGUGGCCAAUUAAGUCAAAUGUGAAUUCCCCGAGCUUAACUUGGGAAUUGCAUUCGAUACUGGUUGGCUAGAGUAUGGGAGAGGAUGGUAGAAUUCCAGGUGUAGCGGUGAAAUGCGUAGAGAUCUGGAGGAAUACCGAUGGCGAAGGCAGCCAUCUGGCCUAAUACUGACACUGAGGUGCGAAAGCAUGGGGAGCAAACAGGAUUAGAUACCCUAGUAGUCC